rnacentral:rRNA from 1 species
UUACGGAAGGCAGCAGUCGGGAAUUUUGCGCAAUGGGCGAAAGCCUGACGCAGCAACGCCGCGUGAGGGAUGAAGGCCUUCGGGUUGUAAACCUCUUUUCUCAGGGACGAUAAUGACGGUACCUGAGGAAUAAGCCACGGCUAACUACGUGCCAGCAGCCGCGGUAAUACGUAGGUGGCAAGCGUUGUCCGGAUUUACUGGGCGUAAAGAGCGCGCAGGCGGUCGAUUAAGUCGAGUGUGAAAGCCCCCGGCUCAACUGGGGAGGGUCACUUGAUACUGGUCGACUCGAAGGCAGGAGAGGGAAGUGGAAUUCCCGGUGUAGUGGUGAAAUGCGUAGAUAUCGGGAGGAACACCAGUGGCGAAGGCGACUUCCUGGCCUGUUCUUGACGCUGAGGCGCGAAAGCUAGGGGAGCAAACGGGAUUAGAUACCCCGGUAGC